ACGUUUUACUCCUACUCCACUACCUCCCUCCUCAAUCCAUUUCGUCUUCCUCCUGGAUCCUCUUUCUGGUCGAGCUCGCCGGGGACACCGCGGCUCGCCGCAGCAACGCCAGCCAUAGGAACGGGCGGGAUCCACCGGCCCUCCGUCCGGCUCGACGUCCACGCCCCAGGGUCCAACAUGCAGGCCCGCUGGACAACGCCGUGAAUUGCCUCAUUUUUCCACAAACUUUUGGACCGAGGCCGCCUUCCUCUGUUCCGUCAGCCGCCGUUGCGACGCUGUCACGGUCGUCCUCCUCCCCGAGCAACUUCAGGGACCGUGACGGGCCCCGCGUCUCCUCUGGACCAAGAAUUCGAAGCAGCGGGUCUCUCCUACUUCUUCCUUGAAGCUGACUGCCGUUGCUGCCGUCCUGAAUUCGCUGUCGUUCGUCCCCAUGCCGUCCAGCCUCGCUACAAACAGUAGGGGAGUUCUAGCGACACAUUAUACAAGGAGCUAUGGCAUGCUUGCGCUAGGCCGUUGAUCACAGUGCCUCGCCAAGGUGAAAGGAUUUACCACUUUCCGCAUGUUUACAUGGAACAGGAUGCUAGAGCACCUUCACUUCCCAAACAUAAUAAAGGCUGGCACUGCAAAAAAUCAGGGCGUCUCAAGAAGUACUGUGAAUGCUUUCAAGCAAAUAUUCUUUGCUCCAAGAAUUGUAAAUGUAUGGAUUGCAAGAACUUCGAAGGAAGUGAGGAACUAUAGGCUAUAACUCAAGGGGAUAAUGCAUCUGAUAAAAAUAACAUUCAGCAAACAGCUAAUGUCACUCUGAAUGGUGCCAUUGGAUCCUCUGGAUAUAAAUAUUCACCUGUACGUAGAGAAAGACACCCAGAAGACCCCCUUGGUCCUGAGGUAAUUUCAAGUUAGCUAGUUCUGCAACUUCAAGCAAUCUGCCAUUUUAAGUCAGAUCUCGUGUAACACAUCUAUUUUGUUGCUAGUUUCCUUUUAUUUCUGCUUCAGCUAUAAAUCCAGUUGGGUGUACAUCCACUUGAUCA